AAAGGGAGACCUAAUUCCGGUAGGAGACGAAAAAAAAGUAGUCCCAACCAAGAAUCAAUCCCAAAAGGUCGGAGCGAGGCGAAAUUGGCUUUCAAACUAGGUUCUGGGUUCACACAAGACCUGAAUCAGGAACAAGGGCUAUUAGCUCAGGUGGUUAGAGCGCACCCCUGAUAAGGGUGAGGUCCCUGGUUCGAGUCCAGGAUGGCCCACCUGCACAGGUGGCAAAAACGAAGAAAAAAAGCUCCGAAUCAGCACCUUAUCUUACUUAUACAGUAAGAGAGAAUGCUGGCUCUGAGUUCAGAGUCCAGAGGAACCUUGAAAACUGCAUAGAGCUAGGUGAAAAAGCCAAAAAAGAAGACCGCAAG
rnacentral:tRNA from 1 species